AUUGAACGCUGGCGGCAGGCCUAACACAUGCAAGUCGAACGAGUGGCGGACGGGUGAGUAAUGUCUGGGAAACUGCCUGGGGGAGGGGGAUAACUACUGGAAACGGUAGCUAAUACCGCAUAACCUCGGAUGUGCACAGAUGGGAUUAGCUAGUGGGUGGGGUAAAGGCUAACCUAGGCGACGAUCCCUAGCUGGUCUGAGAGGAUGACCAGCCACACUGGAACUGAGACACGGUCCAGACUCCUACGGGAGGCAGCAGUGGGGAAUAUUGCACAAUGGGCGCAAGCCUGAUGCAGCCAUGCCGCGUGUAUGAAGAAGGCCUUCGGGUUGUAAAGUACUUUCAGCGGGGAGGCGUUACCCGCAGAAGAAGCACCGGCUAACUCCGUGCCAGCAGCCGCGGUAAUUC
rnacentral:rRNA from 1 species